rnacentral:hammerhead_ribozyme from 1 species
ACACUGGUGAGGAGUCCCAAAAUAGGACGAAACGGCCGUCCAGUGC